rnacentral:lncRNA from 1 species
GGCCAAUAAGGUGCAAGCAGAUUGGAGUCAGAGUACCUCAGAAAUGCUAAGGAAGUGGAGGCAGCAGGUAUCUUUAAGGAGAGGAGUGGGUGACCCAUGCAAGAACUCAGGAAAAAGUUAGCUGGCUGUACCUGCUAAUUAUCAUGACUAUAAAUGAUGAAGACACUGAUUCUUCUUUUCAAAAUGCAAGAGGGAUCCCUGGGUGGUGCAGCGGUUUGGCGCCUGCCUUUGGCCCGGGGCGCGAUCCUGGAGACCCGGGAUCGAAUCCCACAUCGGGCUUCCGGUGCAUGGAGCCUGCUUCUCCCUCUGCCUGUGUCUCUGCCUCUCUCGCUCUCUCCCUGUGUGACUAUCAUAAAUAAAUAAAAAUUAAAAAAAAAUGCAAGAGGUGGUAAUUUUUUACG